rnacentral:rRNA from 1 species
UCUGAUGGAGCACGCCGCGUGAGUGAAGAAGGGUUUCGGCUCGUAAAGCUCUGUUGUUAAAGAAGAACGUGGGUAAGAGUAACUGUUUACCCAGUGACGGUAUUUAACCAGAAAGCCACGGCUAACUACGUGCCAGCAGCCGCGGUAAUACGUAGGUGGCAAGCGUUAUCCGGAUUUAUUGGGCGUAAAGCGAGCGCAGGCGGUCUUUUAAGUCUAAUGUGAAAGCCUUCGGCUCAACCGAAGAAGUGCAUUGGAAACUGGGAGACUUGAGUGCAGAAGAGGACAGUGGAACUCCAUGUGUAGCGGUGAAAUGCGUAGAUAUAUGGAAGAACACCAGUGGCGAAGGCGGCUGUCUGGUCUGCAACUGACGCUGAGGCUCGAAAGCAUGGGUAGCGAACAGGAUUAGAUACCCUGGUAGUCCAUGCCGUAAACGAUGAUUACUAAGUGUUGGAGGGUUUCCGCCCUUCAGUGCUGCAGCUAACGCAUUAAGUAAUCCGCCUGGGGAGUACGACCGCAAGGUUGAAACUCAAAAGAAUUGACGGGGGCCCGCACAAGCGGUGGAGCAUGUGGUUUAAUUCGAAGCUACGCGAAGAACCUUACCAGGUCUUGACAUCUUCUGACAGUCUAAGAGAUUAGAGGUUCCCUUCGGGGACAGAAUGACAGGUGGUGCAUGGUUGUCGUCAGCUCGUGUCGUGAGAUGUUGGGUUAAGUCCCGCAACGAGCGCAACCCUUAUUACUAGUUGCCAGCAUUAAGUUGGGCACUCUAGUGAGACUGCCGGUGACAAACCGGAGGAAGGUGGGGACGACGUCAAAUCAUCAUGCCCCUUAUGACCUGGGCUACACACGUGCUACAAUGGAUGGUACAACGAGUCGCGAG